UAGUCAUAUGCUUGUCUCAAAGAUUAAGCCAUGCAUGUCUAAGUAUAAGCAAUUAUACAGCGAAACUGCGAAUGGCUCAUUAUAUAAGUUAUCGUUUAUUUGAUAGUGCCUUACUACUUGGAUAACCGUGGUAAUUCUAGAGCUAAUACAUGCUGAAAAUCCCGACUUCGGAAGGGAUGUAUUUAUUAGAUUAAAAACCAAUGCCCCCUGGGCUCUCUGGUGAUUCAUGAUAACUGCUCGAAUCGCAUGGCCUUGCGCCGGCGAUGGCUCAUUCAAAUUUCUUCCCUAUCAACUUUCGAUGUUUGGGUAGUGGCCAAACAUGGUUGCAACGGGUAACGGAGGGUUAGGGCUCGACCCCGGAGAAGGAGCCUGAGAAACGGCUACUACAUCCAAGGAAGGCAGCAGGCGCGCAAAUUACCCAAUCCCGACUCGGGGAGGUAGUGACAAUAAAUACUGAUACAGGGCUCUUUUGGGUCUUGUAAUUGGAAUGAGUACAAUUUAAAUCCCUUAACGAGGAACAAUU
rnacentral:rRNA from 1 species